rnacentral:tRNA from 1 species
GCCGAUAUAGCUCAGUUGGUAGAGCUUAUAAUUCGUAAUGCGAAGGUCGUAGGUUCGACUCCUAUUAUCGGCACCA